CCUACGGGAGGCAGCAGUGGGGGAUAUUGCACAAUGGGGGAAACCCUGAUGCAGCGACGCCGCGUGUGGGAAGACGGUCCUCUGGAUUGUAAACCACUGUCCCCAGGGACGAAGAUGACGGUACCUGGGGAGGAAGCUCCGGCUAACUACGUGCCAGCAGCCGCGGUAAUACGUAGGGAGCGAGCGUUGUCCGGAUUUACUGGGUGAAAAGGGAGCGCAGGCGGGAGUGCAAGUUGGGGGUCAAAUCUACCGGCUCAACCGGUAGCCGCACUCAAAACUGCAGGUCUUGAGUGAAGUAGAGGCAGGCGGAAUUCCUGGUGUAGCGGUGAAAUGCGUAGAUAUUAGGAGGAACACCAGUGGCGAAGGCGGCCUGCUGGGCUUUUACUGACGCUGAGGCUCGAAAGUGUGGGGAGCAAACAGGAUUAGAUACCCGGGUAGUC
rnacentral:rRNA from 1 species